rnacentral:rRNA from 1 species
UACGAAGGGGGCUAGCGUUGCUCGGAAUUACUGGGCGUAAAGGGCGCGUAGGCGGGUCGUUUAGUUAGAGGUGAAAGCCCAGGGCUCAACCCUGGAAUUGCCUUUAAUACUGGCGGCCUUGAGUAUGGCAGAGGUGUGUGGAACUCCGAGUGUAGAGGUGAAAUUCGUAGAUAUUCGGAAGAACACCAGUGGCGAAGGCGACACACUGGGCCAUUACUGACGCUGAGGCGCGAAAGCGUGGGGAGCAAACGGGG